UUGUCCAGCAUGCUUGUAUGUAUAUUUCAGAACCUUUUUAAAUGUAAAAGCUGUACAUUUCUGGGAAGUUCUGAAUUUCUUUUGUUUUCUUUUGUCCUUCAAGCAUUUUACGGUGAGCUUCUUUUAUAUAUAGCAAAUAAUUUGAAAGAAUACAAAAAUAUGUGAAGUUCAUUUAAAAAAAAAAACUACAGUAUAGCACUAGUACAGUACACUAAAAGACUUUGAUAGAAAGAAACAAUAAGGGGCCAGGGUUGUGGCUCAGUGGUACAGUCUUGCCUCGAAUGCCUGAGGCCCUGGGUUUGAUCCUCAGCACCACAUUAAAAAAUAAAUAAAAAUGAAAGAUAUUUUUUAAAAAACUCUUUUAAAAAUAAUAAAAAUCUUCCAUUUUAAAUGCCAUUCAUAUAUACCUUGUGGAUAAGAGCUAUAUACUUUUAUAUACUUUUUAGAGGAAUACAUUAUUGAAAAAAAAACAAAGAGCACACUCAGUGUAUCUUCCUCUCUUUCAGAAUAGAUGAAAGCCAGCAUGGUUGGCACACCCCUUAACCUAGUGAGGAGGCUGAAGCAGGAGAAUUACAAGCUCAAGGCCAGCCUCAGCAACUUAGCAAGGCCCUAAGCAACUUAAACGGAUUCAAAAUAAAAAUGGCUGGGCAUUGGCUCAGUGGUUAAGUGGCUCAUGGUCCAAUCCCCAGUACCAAAAAGAGAGAGAUGGAAACCCUUGACAAGAAAUGGAUGUUUUACUGAAAUUUUAUGAAACUGGGGAAGAAGAUGUACAUCACACUACUUAUUGUAUCUUAAUGAUAAAAUGAUACAAUUUCUGUUUCAUUUUUGCAAAUGCGCCAAGACAAAUACCACCCCCACAUUCCAAACUGAGUCCACCGCAGCAAGAUUUGCAAGGAGGUAAACAAGAAUAUGCCAGGACCCUUGGAUGACCUGUAGAGUCAGAAGUAGCCUGGUGAAUGAUAGAUGUGGAAUAGAGGCACUACAUGGAAUAUCAAGAACUCUAAGCUAUCUUUUCUGCAAUAGGUUUCCAGUUCACGAGGUGAAGCUAGAGGGAGAGGAGAAAAUUCAACUUUUAACCAAUCUUGAAAUUUAAAAAAAAAAAUUGUACUGGACUUGGACUUCUGUUUGUCUUAUUGUUUUGUUUUUUGUUAAACUGGAAAUUGAAUCCAGUAUCUGGCAACAUCUUAGGCAAGUGUUGUAUGUACCACUGAAUUACAACCCUGGCUCUAUUUAUUUUAUUUUGAGGUAGAUUCUGGCUACGUUGGUCAGGGUGACCUUGAACUUACAGUUCUCUUGCCUCAACCUCUCAAGUAGCUAGGAUUACAAACAUGCACUUCCACACCCUGUUUAUUUGUUUUAAGAGACAGGAGUCUCACUAUGUUGCCCAGGCUGGCCUCAAACGCCUGGGUUCAAGCAUUCCUCCUGCCUCCAGUUCCCAAGGAGCUGGGAAUUAUCGUUGUCACACACCAUUUUGUCUGGCUGCCAGUAUUUUUAAAAAUAUGUUUUGGAAGCUUGGAAAAGAAAUGUGAGGUGAAGAAAGGAAAAGAUGACAACCAAAACAGAUCUAGAGGACAUAGGCUAGAGAAGUCCCUGGAGACCUUGGAAAGAAUGAUUUCAGAAGCCCUUAUGGUGACACAAAUCAGACUAUAAUAAAAAGAUUGAAGAGUGGAUGGGCUUUUUUCACCAAGAUGGCACCAAAAGCUAAGAAGGAAGCUCCUGCCCCUCCUGAAGUCGCAGCCACUGCAAAAGCUUUGAAGGCCAAGAAGGCAGUGUUGAAAAACGUUCACACACACACACACACAAAAAGAAGAUCCACAUGUCAUCUAACUUCUGGUGGCCCAAGACCCAGCAGCUCCAAAGGCAGCCCACAUAUCCUCAGAAAAACGCCCCCAGCAGAAACAAGCUUGACUAUGAUGCCAUCAUCAAGUUUUCCCUAACCACUGAGCUGGCCACGAAGAAGGUUGAAGACAACACCACACUAGUGUUCAUUGUGGAUGUCAAGGCAAACAUCAGAUCAAACAGGCUGUAAUGAAGCUUUAUGACACUGAUAACUUAUAAACAACAGUAAUAUAUUCCUCACAAUUCUGGAGGCUGGGAAGUCUAAGAUCAAGAUACUAGUGGGUUUGGUGCCCUGUGAGGGUAUAGACUGCUAUGGUCAGAAUAUUUGUUCCUGAAAUAUUUACAAAUUGAAACUUAAUCCCCAGUGAGAGCACGAAGAGGUGGGCCCUUUAGGUGAUAAGGUGAUGAGGAUUUCACCCUCAUGAAUGGAACUGAUGCCCUUAGAAGGGAGGUUUGAGGGAGCCCUUUUGUAUCUUGCCAAGUCUUUCAUCAGACAUGAAUCUUCUGGCAUCUUCAUGUUGGACUUUCCAGACAACAUGAGUAAAUUGCUACUGUUUAUAAACUA